UACGAAGGGGGCUAGCGUUGCUCGGAAUCACUGGGCGUAAAGCGCACGUAGGCGGAUUGUUAAGUCAGGAGUGAAAUCCUGGAGCUCAACUCCAGAACUGCCUUUGAUACUGGCGAUCUUGAGUCCGGGAGAGGUGAGUGGAACUGCGAGUGUAGAGGUGAAAUUCGUAGAUAUUCGCAAGAACACCAGUGGCGAAGACGGCUCACUGGCCCGGUACUGACGCUGAGGUGCGAAAGCGUGGGGAGCAAACAGG
rnacentral:rRNA from 1 species